rnacentral:ncRNA from 1 species
AAAAGACUUAGUCCUAACCUUACCAUUAGUUUUUGCCAGACAUAUACAUGCAAGUAUCUGCAUCCCAGUGUAAAUGCCCUUAACUCCUACAUUGUAGGUAAAAGGAGCUGGUAUCAGGCACGCUCAUAAGCAGCCCAAGACGCCUUGCUCAGCCACACCCCCACGGGUACUCAGCAGUAAUUAACAUUAAGCAAUAAGUGUAAGCUUGACUUAGUCAUGGCAACUCAGGGUUGGUAAAUCUUGUGCCAGCCACCGCGGUCACACAAGAGACCCAAAUUAAUCGUUCGCGGCGUAAAGAGUGGACCCAUGCCUAUCAUAUCAAUUAGGGUUAAAACGCAGCUGAGCUGUCAUAAGCUUAAGGUGCGCUUAAAACCACCCUAAAGACGACCCUAAUCUAUAUGACUAACUAAACUCCACGAAAGCCAGGGUACAAACUGGGAUUAGAUACCCCACUAUGCCUGGCCCUAAAUCUUGAUGCUCACACAACCAAAGCAUCCGCCUGAGAACUACGAGCACAAACGCUUAAAACUCUAAGGACUUGGCGGUGCCCCAAACCCACCUAGAGGAGCCUGUCCUAUAAUCGAUAACCCACGAUACACCCGACCACUUCUAGCCAAAACAGCCUACAUACCGCCGUCGCCAGCUCACCUCUCCUGAGAGCGCUACAGUGAGCACAACUGCCCUAACCCCGCUAGCAAGACAGGUCAAGGUAUAGCCCAUGAAGUGGAAGAGAUGGGCUACAUUUUCUAACCUAGAAUAUCUCUACGGAAGGGGGCAUGAAACAGCCCCCAGAAGGCGGAUUUAGCAGUAAAGCGGGAUAAUAUAUGCCCCCUUUAAGCCGGCUCUGAGGUACGUACAUACCGCCCGUCACCCUCCUCACAAGCUCUAGACUACCAAUAGAUAAUACAACUAUUUGCUAAAGAUGAGGUAAGUCGUAACAAGGUAAGUGUACCGGAAGGUGCACUUAGUACACC